UUUUGAUGCACGAGUUCUUUAGAGCGUCAUCCUCCAGCCUUUGUGUCGUUGGACGUGCGUGCGUGCGUGCGUGACGUAGUCAAGCUUGUGUGUCUGUCACAGAGCGAAAGAGGCUUGCGUCGUAUUAAAUUCUCCUCUGAAGUUUAUCUGGCUGAUCUUCUAUCUGGACCUGAGAGAUGAAGAAGGCACAAUCGCUCCUUUUCCAAGCGUUGACCGUGCUUGGCAUUUGGGCUUCGCUUGGUGAGUUCACGUUUUUAUUUGACUUCAAGGUGCCUCACUGCAAACGUUGUUGGGACUGGAUUUGUUUCUUCAGAUCAUUAGGGGAUCAAUAUAAAAGGGCAUUUUAUUGGCCCCACCUCGGGGAAAUGUAUACUUGUCAGAUUACUAGACAUAUUAAGCAAACUGUCAGUCUCAUUUGAAACAAUGGAAACAAUACGUUAUACAUCCGCGGUUUUGAGACACUUUCUGAUCCGACUGUGAACUUUUGAAAAAAGGGUGUAGUAAAGCCUAUUUAAAACUAACGACUGACUUUAAGCAUUGAUAUGCCACUCAUUUAACUCACUGACCGCCACUGACUGAAAACCUGAAACAUUCACUUCGGUUUGCCUUGGAAGGCUGCAAAUGGAUUGGACGUCUAGCACCGUCAUUGGCACAGAAACGGCACUUCUUUCCUGGACUUGGUGGGCUUGGACUUGGUGCUGAUGUGGAUAAGUUCGCUGUAAAAUGACACAUUUCAAAGACAACCCUAUGCUGAGAGCUACAAACUCUUUUGUGAACAAGUGAUCCGUCAAAGGAUUAUCGUUGACAAAGAAGUGCUCAGAAUGGACAAGCCAAGAAGGUUGUUCGUGAACAUCGUGAAGAACCAUGAGGAUCUUGAUGCUUCAGACUACAGGCGGGAUAUGCUGAAAAGAAGAUUGAAGUGUGAUUUCCCCCAAUUAGUUUUUUAUGGGGAGAGAUUUGUCUCAAAAAUAUUCUCACAAAUGCUUUCGCGAUUCACACAUAUCUUUUGUAGAUGCACAAAUAUAUCAGAGAUUUUCACAUGUAUUUUCGAGAUCCACAAAUAUAUCCAUGAGUUUCACAUGUGUUUUUGUAAUUCACAAGUAUAUCCUCGAAAUUCACAUGUGUUUUUUUUAUGUAGUGCGUGCACUCAUCAUGAAUUAUUGUUUGUAAGCAUUCGAAUUGUAUAUGGGAAUCAGCGGCCGAGUGCAUUUAUUUUUGAGACAAACAUAACAAGAAACGGUCAAAUUUUCUCACACAAGCGCAUUCGCGAUUCACACUUGUGUUUUUCGAAUUCACAAAUACAUCCGCGAUUCUCACAAAUACAUUAGUGAUUUUCACACGUGUUUUUCAGAUCCACAAAUACGUCCGCGUUUUCCUCGUGUGUUUUUUAAAUCCACAAAUACUUCCGCAAAUGUCGCAUGUUUUUUUUAAUGAUGUGCGCGCAAUUAUCAUGACUUGACAUUUUUUAAGCAUUCAGUUUUGCUUGUGAAUUGCUGGAGCUGUGUUUUUUUUGUUUUUGUUUUUUUUUUUAAACAGCGAACACGCGCAUUUCUUUUUGAGACAAACGUCACUCGAUGUUUCACCAAGAUUUUCUCACACACAGUAAACCAAGAAUUUUCACGUGUCUCAAAUAACCUCCGCCUCAGUCCGAUAGGCGGCAGUAUUGAGCGCAUAGAAAGGUCAAAAGUGCCCAUCAACACAGAUGGCAAAUGGUGUUCUACUUAUGUAGCGCUUUUCCACCUUUCAAGGCGCUCAAAGCGCUUUACACUACAUCGCCAUCUACAUACAGGUGACGCAGCACCAGGAGCAAUGUGGGGUUCAGUAUCUUGCUCAAGGAUACUUAGGCGAGUUCAUCAGGGCAGAGAAUUGCACAACCUCUGGGUUGGGGGACAACUACUCUACCGCAGAGCCACGCCAUCCCCAUCCCCAGAUCACAUACGGACACCUAGCGGGUGACAUUACACCGGGCAACAGAUAAACAGGUGUCUUGGGUCCGUUGGAAAACCUACCCUAUUCCAUUUUUUGUUUUUAUGUGUGUUAAUAAAAAAAAAAAAAAAAAAAAGAGAGAAAUGAAUCAUCUCCCGUUUCCCAAUUAAAAACUGCUAAUUCAAUAACGGAAACGAGACUUAAUCCAUUUUACCAAUUAAUGGUUUUGAGCUGAAGUCGAAAAACAAAAUAUGUCCAAUAUUUGUUUUUAUUAACAAAAAAAAAAAAACAACAGCACAAAUAUGCCAGGGGGUUAUAAACAUUUCAAACAUUGCACAUCAGGAAAAUAACAAAACAAAACAAAAACAAAAAAACAAUGAAUAAUGCUGUGAGCAAUUAUUCACAAAGAGAUUCAAGUUUUUCCACAAAUAUUGUUAUUUUCCGCUUUUAGAUUAUUUGAUUUUUUAAACAGAUUUAUGUAGCACACAGUCUCGUUAUGAAAGUGAGAAAAAGAAGGUAACAGCUUGCUAAAUUUACAUUUGUGUAGGUAGAAUUUCGACAAAAUGACAAGAUUAAUAAUAGAAACAAUCUCUUUCUUGAGAUUCUUAUAGAAACAAAAACAAAAAAGACAUUUUCCCAUUUGAGUUUGAAGUCCACAUGUGUAGGCUCCUGAUUCUGAACUUGCAAAGUUCUUUCCAAAAUUUAUUGGAAAAAGAGCAGGUCCAAAAAAGGUGCUGAACUGUCUCUGUAUCAAUGUCCCACUUUAAUUUUUUUCAUGUAGUGGUUUGCAGGAUAGUACUUAUCUAUAGAUAAUUUUGAAAGCGACUUCUUUGACCUUACUUGUCAACCGAAACAUAUUGGGGAUAGUCCAUACUUAGGCGUGGACCAAAUGAUAUCUCCAAAAAGACUUAACAUAUGCUUUGGAUCUAAUCUCGUUCUGAAAUAGAGAUCGAGUAUAUCUAUUCAAAUUUUUGUUAUGUAGUAAACAUAAUUUCCCCACACUUGAAUUUAGUAUAUUUGGAGGAGAUAAAGUUUGAAAUGGCAUGUUUACAUUUCUGCACAGCAUAAUGAAUCCUGAAGGAAUCGCAUCAUCAACACUAGCAUAUUGCUUAGGUCUAACUGGUAACUGAAAAUAAUCCCAAAACUCCGCGUAAAACAUAGGUGCCAUUAAAAAGUUGUGACACAAAAAGUGUCUUCUGCCUCUAAUUGUCCAAAAAUAAAGAUUUUUUUUUGCAAAGAAUUCAAUGAGCCAUGACCCGGAAGACGAGGCCUUAUUGAAGAAAAACAUCGUUUUCCGGUUCAAGGCUCAUUGUAAAAGCGAACUCGGAGGAAAACAAAUAUUGGUCGUAUUUUGUUUUUCGACUUCAGUUCAAUAAAUUGACAUUGUAAAAACGGAUUAAGGUUCGUUUUUCGUUUUUUAUUUUCCAAAAUUAGAAGGAAAAACAAACGGCCUCAAGGUACACGGACAGUCUUGAUAGUUCUUGAAGUUUGGGAAUCAUACUUUUAUAGUCUAUGCGCUCAAAACUGCCACCUAUCAGAUGAAGGCGGAGGUUAUUUGAGACACGUGAAAAUUCUCGGCUUACUGUGUGUGAGAAAAUCUUGGUGAAACAUCGAGUGACGUUUGUCUCAAAAAGAAAUGCGCGUGUUUGCUGUUAAAGAACACAGCUCCAGCAAUUCACAAGCAAAAUUGAAUACUUAAAAAAUGUCAAGUCAUGAUAAUUGCACGCACAUCAUUAAAAAACAUGCGAAACUUGCGGAAGUAUUUGUGGAUUUGAAAAACACUUGUGGAAAACGCGGACGUAUUUGUGGAUCUGAAAAACGCGUGUGAAAAUCACUCAUGUAUUUGUGAGAAUCGCGGAUGUAUUUGUGAAUUUGAAAAACACGUGUGAAUCGCCAAUGCACUUGUUCUUGUUAUGUUUGUCUCAAAAAUAAAUGCACGCGGCCGCUGAUUCACAAAUACAAUUCGAAUGUUUGCAAACAAUAAUUCAUGAUGAGUGCACGCACAACAUUAAAAAACACAUGUGAAUUUCGAGGAUAUAUUAGUGGAUUACAAAAACACAUGUGAAACUCAUGGAUAUAUUUGUGGAUCUCGAAAAUACAUGUGAAAAUCUUGGAUAUAUUUGUGCAUCGACAAAAGAUAUGUGUAAAUCGCGAAAGUAUUUGUGAGAAUAUUUUUGAGACAAAUCUCUCCCCAUAGUUUUUCACACCCCUUUCCAGCGCAACAUGUCUGAAAUGUUUUUUUUGUUUUUUUUGUUGGAGACUUUAUCAUCAACAGAAACUUUUAGACAGGAUACCUCAGUCAUCAGGUACAUCAGCUACCGACUCUACUGAGGUAAGACAAGAAAGUGACACUGAACAAAUGGCUAGCACACCAUCUGGUUGGAAAUCCACAGAACAAAGAAGGACACUUUACAGUGCAGGGCUGCUAUUGAGGACCAUUCUAAGCGAAUCACCCUCACUGAAAUGCCCAUGGCCUCCCACAGCAGAAGAUUUAAAUGUAUGUGAAGCGAAAGCUGUUGUGCCUGUUGAACAGUACAAUCGAUUGGUGCAACAGAAGAACCAACACUAGCCGGCAAAAGGGCAAACUACGAGGCAGCAGUAAUGCGACAUUGUCUGACUGGUAUGAUGUGUGCCCCUUCACCAAUUGGCAAUGGAUGGGACAUUGAGGAUGGUGAAUUAACAGUAAAAUGGAUGACUAGAAAUCCUGCCCCAGAUAGUGUGCUACAGGUAAUCCACUGUGGUUGCAAGAUAAGCAAGUGUGAGACUGAAAGAUGUUCAUGCUUGUCUGCAAAAAUGUCCUGUACAGAUUUAUGCCACUGCCAGGACUGUGAAAAUAUUUCAAAGGAAAUGGGAUGAUGACACUGAUGAUACUGAUAUUGAUGAGUAAUCACCCACCAUCUCUCCUAUGUUUAGUUUCAUUAUCAAAAUGUUACUCUCCAUUUUAACACCUUUAAAACAACAACAAAAAAAGGCUCUUUUCCCUUUUCCAAAAAAAUAGACCUUUGUUCAAUUUGACUGCCAAAAAAGAUGGAUGUUCCAAUGAAGUGCUAUUGUUUUAUUGAGAGUGCACAUUUCAUAUAUGUGUGUGUAUAUAUAUAUAUAUAUAUAUAUAUAUAUAUAUAUAUAUAUAUAUAUAUAUAUAUAUGUGUGUGUGUAUAUAUAUAUAUGUGUGUGUGUAUAUAUAUAUAUGUGUGUGUGUAUAUAUAUAUAUGUGUGUGUGUAUAUAUAUAUAUGUGUGUGUAUAUAUAUAUAUAUAUGUGUGUGUAUAUAUAUAUAUAUGUGUGUGUGUGUAUAUAUAUAUAUGUGUGUGUGUGUAUAUAUAUAUAUGUGUGUAUAUAUAUAUAUAUGUGUGUAUAUAUAUAUAUGUGUGUGUAUAUAUAUAUAUAUAUAUGUGUAUAUAUAUGUGUAUAUAUAUAUAUAUAUAUAUGUAUAUAUAUAUAUAUGUAUAUAUAUAUAUACACACUGAUACACGGCCCAUGGGAAAACCCAUGGACAGUGUAUCAAAUACUUGUUCUCCCCACUCUAUACAUAUAUAUUCCUAGAUUUUGACAAAAUUGGUGCAGGGAAACGUUGGGUGAACUUUUAACCCAAAGUUCAGAAGGGUAUUAUCUUAUCAAAAAAUGCAUUGAACAAGUAGUGCCCAGACAGUGGAACGAAACCCAUUUUCUAGGCACUUUUUCAGGGUCCACCCCAAGGCCUAAUUCUAUUUAACACAAGACUUAUUUUUCAUCCCAUACAAUUUAUUUAGCAAUUGGGGGAAAUUACUUAGAUACAUACUGUAAAAAUAUUGGAGUAGAGAGAUAAAAACAAUGAUGACAUUUUGCUGCUGUCUGUUGCAUUUUCCGCGUUCUGAAUCUUCCCCAUUGGGCUGAUUUCUAAAUCAGCUGAAAUCGUUACUCUGCCGACGUCAUCACCUAGAUGGAGGCACUAGAGCAGGGUUCUCCAACCCAGUCCUCAAGGCACACUGUGGGUCCUGGUUUUUGUUCCAGCCGAUCCAGCAGAGGCAGUUGAGCCAAUGAGGCUUCUGCUAAAACAAGCCACACCUGACUGCAAUCAAGUGAUUGCACUUGUAAAACACCAGAUUGGGGAAAAAGUGUUGUCAUCUUGUUUGGUAGGAAUGAAAUCCUGCACCCACAGUGUGCCUUUGUGGAAUAGGUUGGGGACCCCUGCACUAGAGUGCUACAAUGAUAGGCGGGGCUAAACGGCAGAUUAAAAGAAACAUUUCUCUUCAUCUGCGCUUUGCCAAAUUGUUGUAUAUAGUCGAAUGAUCUCAAAAUAUGAUUUUAAUUCACAUAAUAAUGCUAUUUAAUUUCAUCGUGUCACAGGCGCUUUAAAAGUCAGUGAUUGCAGGACUGGUUUACUUUCAAAAAGUGCUUGAGCCGAGUUUUGAGGGUUUGUAUUGCGGGACACUCCCUGAUGGCCCUACUAUGACCCUAGUCAUGGGGGCGGGGGCAAAUCAAAUACUUAAAUAGUAUUUUUUUAAAUUAAGAAACAAAGCACAUGAAAAAAAAAUACAUAGUAAUGAAGUAAUAAAAUAGAAAUAAUUCUACAUGAAAUGAAAUUCAUUCUAAAAAAAAAAUCAAAACUUCAAAAUAUAAAUGAAAAAUUAUUGAAAUAAAUCAAGAUUAAAAAAAAUAAUAAUAAUAAUAACAUUAAUUCAAAUAAGUGUCCCAUGUGUGAAUUUUGCUGUGGGAAAGUUAUUCAUUUAAUUUUGUUUUGUUUGAUGAAUCUUGUGACCUCUCAUAUCUUAACUCUAUGGCUGCCUCUUACGGUAUUCAAUCCAUUUCAACUGAUUGUUCGAUCGCUUCCAGCCCCUCCCAGUUAAAAUGGAUUGGACGUCUAUCAAUAUCUUUUACUUAUUACCACAACAAAAAUUGUGACCUGGGCUGGCGGUGGUGAGGUAAACUAAUGAUAACUUUUGGAUAGAUGUCCACUGAUGUGACCACUGUAACCGAAAGGGUUAAACAUCAUCCUCAAAAAUAAAAAGUGCAAAUUACCACACAAAUGUUCCUUUUUGUGCUAUACACAAGUGUGGAUGCAACCCCGUUGGUUACAUAACUCUGUCGGAAUGGCUGACGGUUACCCAUUUGAUUAUUUCACCUUAUAACGCAUACUGUAGCUUGAUCUGAGGCUGAAAUGCAUCCCAACUCUUCUUUCUUGAUUUCUGUCCCAAUUUACAUCCAUUGUCCAGUUCACUGGCGCCUGUGGCACAGCUGUGAUGGUGUGUGAUGUAAUCCUACUUGGUUUAGUUAUUGUUGGGUAAAGAGGCAUACUAUACAUUGUAUCCAAAAAAUUGUCCAUUGCUGCCAGUUUGCUUGGAUUUAAUAAAUCAAUAUUAAAAUCUCCACAGAUGAAGAAUGUUUUCUGCUUAAUAGUGGAAAACAAUUGGCUCAUCCAUUCAGUGAAGGAAUCAAUACAUGAACCCGGUGAUCGAUAGAUUCAACUGACAAUUAUAUUUUUCUUUUUUUCAUUGGAGAUCUCUAUUGUCAAACAUUCCAAGUGUUCUUGACAUAUCUAUUCAAUUCAAUUUUAUUUGUAUAGCCCUAAAUCACAACAAGGUUGUCUCAAAGGGCUUUGCAGAGGCAAUAUGAUACAAAAUCAGAAACAGCAAAUGAAGCAAUGAAGAUGAAUACAUACAUUUCAAGUCCUGGGCAUCCCCCAUCCUUAGACCCUCCAUGUCGGCAAGGAAAAACUCCAAAAACUCCAGAGUCUUUGGGAGAAAAUGAGAAACCUUGGGAAGUACCACACUGAGGAGAGAUCCACUCCCGGGACAGAUAGGCAGGGAGCACCAGUACUGCUAAUGGGAAUUAGCAGGCGAAGUUACAGUCCGUAAAGAUACAUUGGAGUAAAGGAACAAGAAGAGGUCCAUCUAGCCAGAUGAGACGGGGGUAGCAACGAGGACAUCCAUCCAGCCAGGGGUCCGGACAGUCAGGAGGCUGCAGCUGAAAAAGGGGUGGGGGGAAAGGGGAGACCGGGUGACGAGUGAUGAAGAGACUAGACAGAUAUUACCAUAUUACUAGAUAUUACCAUUGGAAAAUAGAAAUUAAGUAAGACAAGUGGUACUGUAGGUAGAGUGAGAAAAAGGAGAUAGAACUCAGUGGCUGUACUUCCCCCAGCAUUAUAGCUUCUAGUGCAGCUGUAUCUGUUAAUACCAUACAUUUAAUUGAUUUAUGAAUAUAUAGGGCAACUCCACCACCAGUUUUCUUUUCUCUAUGUAUUUUAAUUCGUAAUCAUCCAUAAGAAAAUCAAUACCUUUAUCAAUAUUAAACCACGUUUCUGUGAUCGCAAUUAUGCUGAAGGGGUGUGUAAAUUGGUGCAGAUAGUCUUUGGUAGAGCUGACAUUUUUGUACAUGCUUCUGCUGUUGAAAUGUAUAAUUGACAGUUUUGCCCAUUGAGUUGAUAUGAUUUUCAUACAGAUCUUGUGUAAAAAUAAUCGCAAUUGGUAACAGUAGAAGAAAAGAAAUGAUUGUCAGGAUCACUUUCUAUAUUAGGGACUCUUUUGUUGGACUCGUUGGAUUUAAAGGCCUCAAGUUCUAUUUGUUUGUUCUGAAGGGUUCGCAGAAGUGGAUCAAUGUCGCUCUUAUUCCUGAGUACAGUUCGUGUGUUUGAUGUAUCGUUCAUAGUCAUUGUAUGCAGAGAUGGUACCUGGUCUUGAUAGGUAUCAGUACUUUUCAAGCUCUUCAAUAUCUCGCACCAUCAGCACUUUUGCUUCCUCAGGCGUUCCGUUCCAUUUAAUGUAUAUUUUACAAUUGACUACCCACGUGUGUUGAAUCUUGCGUUGCUUUUUAAGAUAUCUUGCCUUUUUGGCGAUAUCAGCAUUCUUCCGUGUUAAGUGAUCGUUCAUAUAUACGUCGGUACCCUUCAACUUGCGACCUUGUUUCAGCAGCAUUGUCUUGUUUUUUCGACUGAUAAAUCUCACGAUGAUGGCUGGCGGUCUGUCAUUCCUCAUCGGCAUUGAGUGGCACGCCUCGAUGUGCUCCAAGUCCAACGUUAUUCCCUUGCUCCGAAGGUAAGAUGCCACUUGUUGCUCCACCGAGUUUUCCUCCUGCUGGCUGGGUUCCCCGUCGUCCGUGGCCACCGCACGCGCAUAAGUGCGCGGUCGGAUCUUAUAAAUGACUUUCCAAUAUAUGGAUUUAAAAUUAAGACGUUGCCGGUAAAAUGUUGUCUGUAAAAGUUGUAAAGCAAUAAAACAAACAACAAAAAUGAAUGAAAUGAACAAAAAACAUUUUUUGUAAUGGGUAAAAAAAAUAUUUUUCAAAAAGAUCAUGUGACUAGUGUUGGGUUUUGUGUUGUUUUUUUCCUUAGUGUGACUUGUCUCUGUGAUUACCCAUUGAUUUCACCUGUCGUGCCUGCACAUAGUGAGUCCUCCUGUAUUACCCAGCUGUUCCUCGUUGUCUCGUUACCCCUUGUCUGCAUGUGUGUGUGUAUAAAAGCACCCAGUUUCUUUUCAGUCCUUGUUGCGUCAUUGUCAAUGUAAGUGUAUGUCAACGUCAAAGUCCAUGUCAGGUUCUCAUCAGCAGUAUUCACGCCUAUCCAAGCCCUUGUGUUCCAAGUGAGUUUUUGAAAAGCAGUCUUUUGUUAGUGACAGUUUUUGUUUGCCUCAGUGCCUUCUUUGGAUUAUCACAGCCUUUGUUUGUACUUUGUUUUUCGUUGGCUUUAAUUAAAUCAUUUUUGCACCAUUCAUCUGCCUUGCCUACAUUUCCCUGCAUUUGGGUCCACCUUGCCCGCCCGCGCUCCCUGACAACUAGCACCUUAGAGACGGUCAUUUGCUUUGCUAAGCCACCCCCAAAAAACACUGGAGGUCAGAAGAGGCAAGAUGGAUAUACAUCAUUUUUUUCAAACCUAAGCUUUCAAAAGCGACAACAACUACUGAGCGAGAACCAAGAACUGAAGAUGUGGACCAUGAAACACCGGAGAGCAUCGCCAAAAUGGUGAGCGGAAUUUCAGUUGGCUCCACUUCAGACGUUAACCCCCAAAAAUGGAAACAAGGUAAAAAAAAAAAAAAAAGUUCAUUUUCAACGUAUUAUUAUAAAUGAUGUUCCUGGCUGAAAUAUUCAGCCAAAACAGAUGCGGCGUCUACUUCUCCACGAGGUAAGACAGAAAAACGCACACACGCAGACGCACACACAGCUGGGAUGCCUGUAUGUACGAGCAUGGGCUAAGCUACUAUCGGAGCAUAUAUCGUGUAAGUUGAUUUUAUUGCUGACACUGCGUUUCGGGGUCAUCAACAUUUUUGGCCCCUCUUGCCAGAAAAGUCAAACUCCACCUUAUGGUUUUACCACGCGAUACUUUUUACUUUGACUUGAGUAGAUUUGUGAUGAAACACAACUCUUACUCCACUACUUUGGGCUACACUAGUCAUUACAUUUUUCGUCUUUAUUGUACAUAUUGACUUUAUUCUCGCAAGAGGUGCCGACAGUGGCCGUCUCAGUUGUACCAAUGAGACGUCGCAACAAUAACCACAUGACUCCAUUAUACGUUAUAAGUAGCGGUAACAAUGUUUGUUCUCCGCUAGAGGGCACUCAUGCUCUGGGUGGUGAUUCAUCGUGUUGUUCUGGUCUGAAUUUGAGGGUUUGUGUGUCAUCUUUUUGGCCGGAUAGGUUAUAGUACAGUAUGAUAAUGACAGUCCAUCUACUAGUAGAUGAAGUUGUGCUUUGAAAAAAAUAUAUAACAUUAUUAUUUUUUUUUUUUU